GCUCCCGUGGCGGAAAUGGCAUACGCGCAUGGCUUAGGACCAUGUCCCGCAAGGGUUGGAGGUUCGACUCCUCUCGGGAGCA
rnacentral:tRNA from 1 species